rnacentral:misc_RNA from 1 species
AAAGUCGUAACAAGGUUUCCGUAGGUGAACCUGCGGAAGGAUCAUUAACACGUAUCCAUACGUAUUAUAUACCAAACCGUGAACUUGUUUGUAAAAUGAGAAAGAGGGAGUGCGAAAGCGCGAGCUCUUUGUAUCUUAUUUUCAACCUUAUAAACCACUUGUAACCAAUUGUACUAAAAACCUAAGAAACGUGAUUGUCAUGAUCAUGUUCUGUAUUUACGAAACGUAAAAACAAUUCUUAGCAACGGAUAUCUUGGUUCUC